rnacentral:rRNA from 1 species
GAGUUUGAUCUUGGCUCAGAUUGAACGCUGGCGGCAUGCCUUACACAUGCAAGUCGAACGGCAGCACGGGAGCUUGCUCCUGGUGGCGAGUGGCGAACGGGUGAGUAAUGCAUCGGAACGUAUCCUGGAGUGGGGGAUAACGUAGCGAAAGUUACGCUAAUACCGCAUAUUCUGUGAGCAGGAAAGCGGGGGACCUUCGGGCCUCGCGCUCUUGGAGCGGCCGAUGUCGGAUUAGCUAGUUGGUGAGGUAAAGGCUCACCAAAGGCGACGAUCCGUAGCAGGUCUGAGAGGAUGAUCUGCCACACUGGAACUGAGACACGGUCCAGACUCCUACGGGAGGCAGCAGUGGGAAUUUUGGACAAUGGGGGCAACCCUGAUCCAGCCAUGCCGCGUGAGUGAAGAAGGGCCC